UUGAACGCUGGCGGCAGGCCUAACACAUGCAAGUCGAGCGGUAGCACAGAGAGCUUGCUCUCGGGUGACGAGCGGCGGACGGGUGAGUAAUGUCUGGGAAACUGCCUGAUGGAGGGGGAUAACUACUGGAAACGGUAGCUAAUACCGCAUAAUGUCGCAAGACCAAAGUGGGGGACCUUCGGGCCUCAUGCCAUCAGAUGUGCCCAGAUGGGAUUAGCUAGUAGGUGGGGUAACGGCUCACCUAGGCGACGAUCCCUAGCUGGUCUGAGAGGAUGACCAGCCACACUGGAACUGAGACACGGUCCAGACUCCUACGGGAGGCAGCAGUGGGGAAUAUUGCACAAUGGGCGCAAGCCUGAUGCAGCCAUGCCGCGUGUGUGAAGAAGGCCUUCGGGUUGUAAAGCACUUUCAGCGGGGAGGAAGGCGUUAAGGUUAAUAACCUUGGCGAUUGACGUUACCCGCAGAAGAAGCACCGGCUAACUCCGUGCCAGCAGCCGCGGUAAUACGGAGGGUGCAAGCGUUAAUCGGAAUUACUGGGCGUAAAGCGCACGCAGGCGGUCUGUCAAGUCGGAUGUGAAAUCCCCGGGCUCAACCUGGGAACUGCAUUCGAAACUGGCAGGCUAGAGUCUUGUAGAGGGGGGUAGAAUUCCAGGUGUAGCGGUGAAAUGCGUAGAGAUCUGGAGGAAUACCGGUGGCGAAGGCGGCCCCCUGGACAAAGACUGACGCUCAGGUGCGAAAGCGUGGGGAGCAAACAGGAUUAGAUACCCUGGUAGUCCACGCCGUAAACGAUGUCGACUUGGAGGUUGUGCCCUUGAGGCGUGGCUUCCGGAGCUAACGCGUUAAAUCGACCGCCUGGGGAGUACGGCCGCAAGGUUAAAACUCAAAUGAAUUGACGGGGGCCCGCACAAGCGGUGGAGCAUGUGGUUUAAUUCGAUGCAACGCGAAGAACCUUACCUGGUCUUGACAUCCACAGAACUUUCCAGAGAUGGAUUGGUGCCUUCGGGAACUGUGAGACAGGUGCUGCAUGGCUGUCGUCAGCUCGUGUUGUGAAAUGUUGGGUUAAGUCCCGCAACGAGCGCAACCCUUAUCCUUUGUUGCCAGCGGUCCGGCCGGGAACUCAAAGGAGACUGCCAGUGAUAAACUGGAGGAAGGUGGGGAUGACGUCAAGUCAUCAUGGCCCUUACGACCAGGGCUACACACGUGCUACAAUGGCAUAUACAAAGAGAAGCGACCUCGCGAGAGCAAGCGGACCUCAUAAAGUAUGUCGUAGUCCGGAUUGGAGUCUGCAACUCGACUCCAUGAAGUCGGAAUCGCUAGUAAUCGUAGAUCAGAAUGCUACGGUGAAUACGUUCCCGGGCCUUGUACACACCGCCCGUCACACCAUGGGAGUGGGUUGCAAAAGAAGUAGGUAGCUUAACCUUCGGGAGGGCGCUUACCACUUUGUGAUUCAUGACUGGGGUG
rnacentral:rRNA from 1 species